AUUGAACGCUGGCGGCAGGCCUAACACAUGCAAGUCGAGCGGACGAAGGGAGCUUGCUCCUGGAUUCAGCGGCGGACGGGUGAGUAAUGCCUAGGAAUCUGCCUGGUAGUGGGGGAUAACGUCCGGAAACGGGCGCUAAUACCGCAUACGUCCUGAGGGAGAAAGUGGGGGAUCUUCGGACCUCACGCUAUCAGAUGAGCCUAGGUCGGAUUAGCUAGUUGGUGGGGUAAAGGCCUACCAAGGCGACGAUCCGUAACUGGUCUGAGAGGAUGAUCAGUCACACUGGAACUGAGACACGGUCCAGACUCCUACGGGAGGCAGCAGUGGGGAAUAUUGGACAAUGGGCGAAAGCCUGAUCCAGCCACGCCGCGUGUGUGAAGAAGGUCUUCGGAUUGUAAAGCACUUUAAGUUGGGAGGAAGGGCAGUAAGUUAAUACCUUGCUGUUUUGACGUUACCAACAGAAUAAGCACCGGCUAACUUCGUG
rnacentral:rRNA from 1 species